rfam:Erinaceus europaeus unplaced genomic scaffold scaffold00501, whole genome shotgun sequence
GGAUGUGAGGGUGAUCUGGCUGUGACAUCUGUCAUCCCAUUGAUCGCCACAGUUGAUUCAGCUGAUCUGGCUGGCAGGCGGGCAUCCCCUUCCCCCCUCACUGCUCCAUGUGCUUCCCUCCUGCAGCUGCUUGCUCAGUCGAAUAGAGAUGGACUGGUCUUCAGUAUACCAGUAGCUGCACUCCCCUGCUAGAACCUCCAAACAAGCUCUCAAUAAUUUAAUUUCUGCAUUAUUAUACAACAAAAAAUCAAAGCUGUCUUGUUUGUAGAGGGAAGAAAUCCUUCUAUACUUUCACAGACUCUGGAAUUAAGU